rnacentral:rRNA from 1 species
CCCGCAGAAGAAGCACCCGGCUAAACCUCCGUGCCAGCAAGCCGGCGGUAAUACCGGAGGGGUGGCAAGGCGUUAAUUCGGGAAUUACUGGGCGUAAAGCGCAACGCAGGCGGGUUUGUUAAAGUCAGAUGUGAAAUCCCCGGGCUCAACCUGGGAACUGCAUCCUGAUACUGGCAAGCUUGAGUCUCGUAGAGGGGGGGUAGAAUUCCCAGGUGUAGCGGUGAAAUGCGUAGAGAUCUGGAGGAAUACCGGUGGCGAAGGCGGCCCCCUGGACGAAGACUGACGCUCAGGUGCGAAAGCGUGGGGAGCAAACAGGAUUAGAUACCCUGGUAGUCCACGCCGUAAACGAUGUCGACUUGGAGGUUGUGCCCUUGAGGCGUGGCUUCCGGAGCUAACGCGUUAAGUCGACCGCCUGGGGAGUACGGCCGCAAGGUUAAAACUCAAAUGAAUUGACGGGGGCCCGCACAAGCGGUGGAGCAUGUGGUUUAAUUCGAUGCAACGCGAAGAACCUUACCUGGUCUUGACAUCCACGGAAGUUUUCAGAGAUGAGAAUGUGCCUUCGGGAACCGUGAGACAGGUGCUGCAUGGCUGUCGUCAGCUCGUGUUGUGAAAUGUUGGGUUAAGUCCCGCAACGAGCGCAACCCUUAUCCUUUGUUGCCAGCGGUCCGGCCGGGAACUCAAAGGAGACUGCCAGUGAUAAACUGGAGGAAGGUGGGGAUGACGUCAAGUCAUCAUGGCCCUUACGACCAGGGCUACACACGUGCUACAAUGGCGCAUACAAAGAGAAGCGACCUCGCGAGAGCAAGCGGACCUCAUAAAGUGCGUCGUAGUCCGGAUUGGAGUCUGCAACUCGACUCCAUGAAGUCGGAAUCGCUAGUAAUCGUGGAUCAGAAUGCCACGGUGAAUACGUUCCCGGGCCUUGUACACACCGCCCGUCACACCAUGGGAGUGGGUUGCAAAAGAAGUAGGUAGCUUAACCUCGGAGGCGCUUA